AUUGAACGCUGGCGGCGUGGUUAAAGCAUGCAAGUCGAACGCACCCGCAAGGGUGAGUGGCGAAAGGGUCAGUAACAACAUCGAACGUACCCCGAGGUGUGGGAUAGGCAUGGGAAACUGUGCGUAAUACCACAUGAUCUCUCAGGAGCAAAGGUUUACCGCCUUGGGCUCGGCGAUGUUCCUAUCAGCUAGUUGGCGGGGUAACGGCCCACCAGGGCGAUGACGGGUAGCCGGUGNGAGAGCACGACCGGCGACAUCGGGACUGAGACACUGCCCGGACUCCUACGGGAGGCUGCAGCGACGAAUCUUCCGCAAUGGGCGCAAGCCUGACGGAGCGACGCCGCGUGUGGGAUGAAGCGCCUACGGCGUGUAAACCACUGUCAGGGGGUAGAACCAACGAUCACCCCCAGAGGAAGAGACGGCUAACCC
rnacentral:rRNA from 1 species